rnacentral:rRNA from 1 species
GACGAACGCUGGCGGCGUGCCUAAUACAUGCAAGUUGAGCGAUGAAGAUUGGUGCUUGCACCAAUUUGAAGAGCAGCGAACGGGUGAGUAACGCGUGGGGAAUCUGCCUUUGAGCGGGGGACAACAUUUGGAAACGAAUGCUAAUACCGCAUAACAACUUUAAACAUAAGUUUUAAGUUUGAAAGAUGCAAUUGCAUCACUCAAAGAUGAUCCCGCGUUGUAUUAGCUAGUUGGUGAGGUAAAGGCUCACCAAGGCGAUGAUACAUAGCCGACCUGAGAGGGUGAUCGGCCACAUUGGGACUGAGACACGGCCCAAACUCCUACGGGAGGCAGCAGUAGGGAAUCUUCGGCAAUGGACGAAAGUCUGACCGAGCAACGCCGCGUGAGUGAAGAAGGUUUUCGGAUCGUAAAACCCUGUUGGUAGAGAAGAACGUUGGUGAGAGUGGAAAGCUCAUCAAGUGACGGUAACUACCCAGAAAGGGGCGGCUAACUACGUG